CCUACGGGAGGCAGCAGUGAGGAAUUUUGCGCAAUGGGCGAAAGCCUGACGCAGCGACGCCGCGUGGAGGAUGAAGGCCUUCGGGUUGUAAACUCCUGUUAGAGGGAAGAAGCCCCGCAAGGGGUUGACGGUACCCUCAGAGGAAGCCCCGGCUAACUACGUGCCAGCAGCCGCGGUAAUACGUAGGGGGCAAGCGUUACUCGGAAUUACUGGGCGUAAAGGGUGUGUAGGCGGCCGAGCAAGUCGAAGAUAAAAUCCCAGGGCUCAGCCCUGGAAUUGUCUUCGAUACUGCUGGGCUUGAGGGUAGUGGAGGAGAGCGAAAUUCCCGGUGGGGGGGUGAAAUGCGUAGAUAUCGGGAGGAACACCAGGGGCGAAGGCGGCUCUCUAUGCUGCUCCUGACGCUGAGGCACGAAAGCUAGGGGAGCAACCGGGAUUAGAUACCCUUGUAGU
rnacentral:rRNA from 1 species